AUGUACAUGUGUACAACGUUAAGGCAUCAUAUCCCAUUAGAACUCCGCAAUUAAGCAUGCUUGGGAUAGAUUAGUGCUAGGAUGGGUGACUUCCAGGAAAGUCCUAGUGUUUUAUAUU
rnacentral:rRNA from 1 species